rnacentral:rRNA from 1 species
GACGAACGCUGGCGGCGUGCUUAACACAUGCAAGUCGAACGAUGAAGAAGAGAAACUCGAACUUCGGUUCAAAUUUCACUUCGGAUUAGUGGCAGACUGGUGAGUAACUCGUUAGCAACCUACCUCUUACAAAGGGAUAGCCUCGGGAAACCGUGAUUAAUACCAUAUGACACAUUCAUAAGGCAUCUUAAGAAUGUUAAAGCUACGGCGGUAAGAGCUGGGCUCGCGUCCCAUUGGCUAGUUGGUGAGGUAACGGCCCACCAAGGCGACGAUGGGUAACCGGGAUGGGGGGGGGAACGGUCACGUUUGAAAUGAGGCACGGACCCAAACCCGACGGGAGGGGGGAGUGGGGGAUACUGCAAAAUGGAGGGAAAUCCGGUGCAGCGGCGCCGGGGAAGAGGUGCAGGAAUUCGUUUCGUAAAGAUCUGUUCUAUGGGAAGAAAAGGACUGUACCAUAGGAGAAAGCACCGGCUAAAUACGUG